rnacentral:rRNA from 1 species
UGAGUAAUGCCUAGGAAUCUGCCUGAUAGUGGGGGACAACGUUUCGAAAGGAACGCUAAUACCGCAUACGUCCUACGGGAGAAAGCAGGGGACCUUCGGGCCUUGCGCUAUCAGAUGAGCCUAGGUCGGAUUAGCUAGUUGGUGGGGUAAUGGCUCACCAAGGCGACGAUCCGUAACUGGUCUGAGAGGAUGAUCAGUCACACUGGAACUGAGACACGGUCCAGACUCCUACGGGAGGCAGCAGUGGGGAAUAUUGGACAAUGGGCGAAAGCCUGAUCCAGCCAUGCCGCGUGUGUGAAGAAGGUCUUCGGAUUGUAAAGCACUUUAAGUUGGGAGGAAGGGCAGUAAGCGAAUACCUUGCUGUUUUGACGUUACCGACAGAAUAAGCACCGGCUAACUCUGUGCCAGCAGCCGC